ensembl:lncRNA
ACCCACCCAUCCCCCCAAUCCUCUGCCCAAUCUCAUCAGCACUCAUUGUUUGCACCUGUGUCUCAUUAGUAUAGUUAGGUCACCCUAUAAAAGCCUGAUUAUCUUUGUCGAACUUCAGUCACUCAAAGUUGAGGUGCUGCCCACAAAGACUCUUGACAGGUUUUCUACAUUGUCAGAUUACACUUAGUCUAUUCAGACCAAUAAUUUCAUGGCCGGUGUUAGAAGAGCAUAAUAUCCUUGUAAUUUGAAUGAAGAAGCUUUCAGCUGGUGGCAGCCAGCAGUCCACUGUAAUUUCACCUGCUAAAGGUCUUGCCUGUACUGCAGCGUGGCUCCCUUGAGGAGGUUCUCCAUAGCAACCGGCCUUUGUAACUCGCAGACAUGUAACCGUUCACAAUGAGAGCAAAUGAGGAAUAUUCAAACAGCAAAACAAGGCCAGCGACAGCUCGCCGUUAUCUGAUGUUCACUCUCCGAGUAAAACUCCCGUUAGUGUGACUGAAUCAGAGCGCUGUGAACUGCUAUAACACUCAUGGAUCCGAGACCAGUGUUUUAUUUAGCACAAGAUCAGUGAUGGACGGACAGACUCCAGCAAGACAGAUGGGCAGAUGUGGCUUCACAGCAGCAGAACAAACUGUUCUUACUCUCGCCAAGCUCAGCUGGAGGGAUGUCGCUGAUACCCAUGAUGCUUUAGGUUACUACUGAGUGACAGAUGCUUUAACACUGGCAGAGGUUCAAUGAAUUGGAAUAGCAUUAAGGACAUUCGAAGCUUCCUCCUCUGUUUUAAUUAACAGCAACCUCUGAUAAGUAUUUCAAAACCCCUGGCAAUGACAGUAAGCUCACAAGGAGAUGCAAUAAACUUGUGCACCAUAAUGUUACA